rnacentral:rRNA from 1 species
UACGUAGGGGGCAAGCGUUGCCCGGAAUUAUUGGGCGUAAAGCGCGUGUAGGCGGCCAGAUAAGUCCGCUGUGAAAUCUCGAGGCUCAACUUCGAGCUGUCGGUGGAAACUGUCUGGCUAGAGUCCGGAAGAGGAGAAUGGAAUUCCUGGUGUAGCGGUGAAAUGCGCAGAUAUCAGGAAGAACACCCGUGGCGAAGGCGGUUCUCUGGGACGGUACUGACGCUGAGACGCGAAAGCGUGGGGAGCGAACAGG